CAGCUGUGUGAUAAGCACAAAGUGAAUUAUUCUUUCACCUUUUUUUAAAGAAUACCAUGUACUUUUCACUAAAAAACAGCAUACAUUAAUUUUUUAAGAGCCCUGACAAAUUGCAAGUUA